rnacentral:rRNA from 1 species
AAGUCUGGUGCCAGCAGCCGCGGUAAUUCCAGCUCCAAUAGCGUACGUUAAAAGUUGCUGCAGUUAAAAAGCUCGUAGUUGAACGUUCGGGUUCCGCGGGACGGGGCCGCCCCGCGAGGGACGGCGCCGCCCCGGGGCUCGUGAUAUCUCAUCUCGCCGCCCGUCGCGAGGCGGACGGAGGGAUGGAUGAGGUUACCUGGAAAAAAUCGGGGCGAUCUAGGCGGGCGAACCUCGCCAACGAACGAUCGGACAUGGGAUAACGGAAGAGGGCGUCGGCUCGACUUCGUCGGUUCCUCGGGCCGAGGCACGUACGGUGAAUAGGGACGGUCGGGGCCGCCCGUACCGGGUCGUGAGAGGUGAAAUUCUAGGAUCGACCCGAGACGAACCGCCGCGAAAGCAUUCGGCAAGGACGCUUUCAUUAAUCAAGAACGAAAGUCGGGGGAUCGAAGACGAUCAGAUACCGUCGUAGUCCCGACCGUAAACGAUGCC